GGCGGUUUGGCCGAGUGGUCUAAGGCGAUUGACUGUAUGUACCAAUAAAGCCUAGUCAGCCAUGAAUUCCCACUAACUUCUACACAGCGAAUCUUCUGAUCUGUCAUCAAUUCCCUUCGGGGGCGUCGGUUCGAAUCCGACAGCCGUCG
rfam:Penicillium subrubescens strain CBS 132785 PENSTBscaffold_773, whole genome shotgun sequence.